rnacentral:rRNA from 1 species
GACGAACGCUGGCGGCGUGCUUAACACAUGCAAGUCGAACGGAAAGGCCCUGCUUUUGUGGGGUGCUCGAGUGGCGAACGGGUGAGUAACACGUGAGUAACCUGCCCUUGACUUUGGGGUAACUUCAGGAAACUGGGGCUAAUACCGGAUAGGAGCUCCUGCUGCAUGGUGGGGGUUGGAAAGUUUCGGCGGUUGGGGAUGGACUCGCGGCUUAUCAGCUUGUUGGUGGGGUAGUGGCUUACCAAGGCUUUGACGGGUAGCCGGCCUGAGAGGGUGACCGGCCACAUUGGGACUGAGAUACGGCCCAGACUCCUGCGGGAGGCAGCAGUGGGGAAUAUUGCACAAUGGGCGGAAGCCUGAUGCAGCAACGCCGCGUGCGGGAUGACGGCCUUCGGGUUGUAAACCGCUUUCGCCUGUGACGAAGCGUGAGUGACGGUAAUGGGUAAAGAAGCACCGGCUAACUACGUG